rnacentral:rRNA from 1 species
AGUGAACGCUGGCGGUAGGCCUAACACAUGCAAGUCGAACGGCAGCACAGUAAGAGCUUGCUCUUACGGGUGGCGAGUGGCGGACGGGUGAGGAAUACAUCGGAAUCUACUUUUUCGUGGGGGAUAACGUAGGGAAACUUACGCUAAUACCGCAUACGACCUACGGGUGAAAGUAGGGGAUCUUCGGACCUUGCGCGAUUGAAUGAGCCGAUGUCGGAUUAGCUAGUUGGCGGGGUAAAGGCCCACCAAGGCGACGAUCCGUAGCUGGUCUGAGAGGAUGAUCAGCCACACUGGAACUGAGACACGGUCCAGACUCCUACGGGAGGCAGCAGUGGGGAAUAUUGGACAAUGGGCGCAAGCCUGAUCCAGCCAUACCGCGUGGGUGAAGAAGGCCUUCGGGUUGUAAAGCCCUUUUGUUGGGAAAGAAAAGCAGCAGGUUAAUACCCCGCUGUUCUGACGGUACCCAAAGGAUAAGCACCGGCUAACUUCGUG